rfam:Citrus clementina cultivar Clemenules unplaced genomic scaffold scaffold_3, whole genome shotgun sequence.
AAUGCCUCAGAAUAACCAGAAGGUUAAAUUUUUAACCACACCGUUUGGUUCAGACAGAGGCUUAUAGCAAAACCCCGCAGCACAAAGGUAUUAAUAAUUCUUCCCAUUUCUUGUUAUUUGGGAUUUUCUCCUUAUAGCUGCGGAUAUUU